rnacentral:rRNA from 1 species
GAUGAACGCUGGCGGCGUGCCUAAUACAUGCAAGUCGAGCGAACGGACGAGACGCUUGCUUCUCUGAUGUUAGCGGCGGACGGGUGAGUAACACGUGGAUAACCUACCUAUAAGACUGGGAUAACUUCGGGAAACCGGAGCUAAUACCGGAUAAUAUUUUGAACCGCAUGGUUCAAAAGUGAAAGACGGUCUUGCUGUCACUUAUAGCUGGAUCCGCGCUGCAUUAGCUAGUUGGUAAGGUAACGGCUUACCAAGGCAACGAUGCAUAGCCGACCUGAGAGGGUGAUCGGCCACAAUGGAACUGAGACACGGUCCAGACUCCUACGGGAGGCAGCAGUAGGGAAUCUUCCGCAAUGGGCGAAAGCCUGACGGAGCAACGCCGCGUGAGUGAUGAAGGUCUUCGGAUCGUAAAACUCUGUUAUUAGGGAAGAACAUAUGUGUAAGUAACUGUGCACAUCUUGACGGUACCUAAUCAGAAAGCCACGGCUAACUACGUG